GUCUAACGUUAGUUUCCUUCCUGCAAUGUGAAGGUUGAUCAGAUGCACAUAAAUGGUUUUACUACAAAUGAGCCAUACGAGCAGUCGAAAUUUGUUCCUCCUUGUCAUAAUAUCUUAGUUUCUAGAAUUCCAGAGGGGCGAUCAGCUGCACGAAAACAACCUAACCUAGGCUGGUGUUUCUGAUCUUUAUAUGUAUACCAGUGAGCCCGGGUAACAGUAGAAUAAUCAUUCUUACUGGAAGAAACUUUGCUCUUUGGAUUGAUCAAGUUGUUCCCAGAUGGAUAUACCAUAUUGGGCAGAAUUUGAUUAUUUGUUCAGAUAUGUAUCUUCUUCAUAUUGAGGAGAAGAAACUGAUGGAAACCGGUUUUUCAAAUUGGCUAAAAGUUUGUUUCGUGCCAACACGCGAAAGUGGUUGCAUUUAGAAAGUGGCUAAACAAGUAUUCAGGCGGUCAAGUUGACUGGGGAAACAA
rnacentral:lncRNA from 1 species